UACGAAGGACCCGAGCGUUAUCCGGAUUUAUUGGGUUUAAAGGGUGCGUAGGCGGCUUUACAAGUCAGUGGUGAAAUCUCCCAGCUUAACUGGGAAACUGCCAUUGAAACUGUUUAUCUUGAGUACAUUUGAGGCGGGCGGAAUGUGUCAUGUAGAGGUGAAAUUCUUAGAUAUGACACAGAACACCAAUUGCGAAGGCAGCUCGCUAAACUGUAACUGACGCUGAGGCACGAAAGCGUGGGGAUCAAACAGG
rnacentral:rRNA from 1 species